CUAUUUCUGUAUUUUGUGCAUAUAAUUCCAAAUACUCACUCAACACCGGCGCCUGUGUGUGCAAUCCAGAGAGAGAAGAAAUCUAGAGAGAAAGAAGAAGAAAGGAUGACAAGGGGAAAACAGAAGAUCGAAGCACAGAGAAAAAACGCAGAGAAGAAUCAGAAAUCAAAAGGAUCUCAAUUAGAACAUCGUGCUGUUGCUCUCAAAGUUACCUGUCCAAUCUGUAAAGUGCAAUUAGCAAAUCAAAACCAGCUGGGUGAUCAUUACGGCUCCAAACAUCCAAAGGAGAAGCCUCCAAGCAACUCUGAAUGAUUGGUAUCUUGUUUUGCAGAACAUGAUGUUGUGAUCGUCUUGUUUUGUGGUAAACGUUGUGUUUUUUACUCAUCUACAUGAAACUGAACGAGGGUCAAUAGUGUGAAGUUGGGCGUGUGGGUUUUUGCAUUCACAUUCCAUUUUUUCAUAUGAGUCUUGUGUUUCUAUUACUUUGCCAUUUGCGUUGUUGCAUAAACUGGAUCGUUUGUUGAGUUGUGUGUAAAGAAAAUUGUGAGUCAAGGUUAAAUAUAGAUCAUGGUUUAUUUUUUUUA